rnacentral:rRNA from 1 species
GACAGAGGGUGCAAGCGUUGUUCGGAAUUACUGGGCGUAAAGCGCACGUAGGCGGAUAUUUAAGUCAGGGGUGAAAUCCCAGAGCUCAACUCUGGAACUGCCUUUGAUACUGGGUAUCUGGAGUAUGGAAGAGGUGAGUGGAAUUCCGAGUGUAGAGGUGAAAUUCGUAGAUAUUCGGAGGAACACCAGUGGCGAAGGCGGCUCACUGGUCCAUUACUGACGCUGAGGUGCGAAAGCGUGGGGAGCAAACAGG